rnacentral:rRNA from 1 species
GUAGUCCACGCCGUAAACGAUGUCGACUUGGAGGUUGUUCCCUUGAGGAGUGGCUUCCGGAGCUAACGCGUUAAGUCGACCGCCUGGGGAGUACGGCCGCAAGGUUAAAACUCAAAUGAAUUGACGGGGGCCCGCACAAGCGGUGGAGCAUGUGGUUUAAUUCGAUGCAACGCGAAGAACCUUACCUACUCUUGACAUCCAGAGAACUUAGCAGAGAUGCUUUGGUGCCUUCGGGAACUCUGAGACAGGUGCUGCAUGGCUGUCGUCAGCUCGUGUUGUGAAAUGUUGGGUUAAGUCCCGCAACGAGCGCAACCCUUAUCCUUUGUUGCCAGCGGUUAGGCCGGGAACUCAAAGGAGACUGCCAGUGAUAAACUGGAGGAAGGUGGGGAUGACGUCAAGUCAUCAUGGCCCUUACGAGUAGGGCUACACACGUGCUACAAUGGCGCAUACAAAGAGAAGCGACCUCGCGAGAGCAAGCGGACCUCAUAAAGUGCGUCGUAGUCCGGAUUGGAGUCUGCAACUCGACUCCAUGAAGUCGGAAUCGCUAGUAAUCGUAGAUCAGAAUGCUACGGUGAAUACGUUCCCGGGCCUUGUACACACCGCCCGUCACACCAUGGGAGUGGGUUGCAAAAGAAGUAGGUAGCUUAACCUUCGGGAGGGCGCUUACCACUUUGUGAUUCAUGACUGGGGU